CUACGGGCCGCAGCAGUGGGGAAUAUUGGGCAAUGGGCGCAAGCCUGACCCAGCAACGCCGCGUGAGGGAAGAAGGUUUUCGGAUUGUAAACCUCUGUCCUUGGGGACGAAGAAGUGACGGUACCCAAGGAGGAAGCUCCGGCUAACUAGCGUGCCAGCAGCCGCGGUAAUACGUAGGGAGCAAGCGUUGUCCGGAAUUACUGGGCGUAAAGGGUGCGUAGGCGGCAUAUUAAGUCAGGUGUGAAAUACUCGGGCUCAACCCGGGGGCUGCAUUUGAAACUGAUAUGCUUGAGUGUGAGAGAGGAAAGUGGAAUUCCUAGUGUAGCGGUGGAAUGCGUAGAUAUUAGGAGGAACACCAGUGGCGAAGGCGACUUUCUGGCUCAUAACUGACGCUGAGGCACGAAAGCGUGGGGAGCAAACAGGAUUAGAUACCCUCGUAGUC
rnacentral:rRNA from 1 species